rnacentral:rRNA from 1 species
GAUGAACGCUGGCGGCGUGCCUAAUACAUGCAAGUCGAGCGAAUGGAUUAAGAGCUUGCUCUUAUGAAGUUAGCGGCGGACGGGUGAGUAACACGUGGGUAACCUGCCCAUAAGACUGGGAUAACUCCGGGAAACCGGGGCUAAUACCGGAUAACAUUUUGAACCGCAUGGUUCGAAAUUGAAAGGCGGCUUCGGCUGUCACUUAUGUAUGGACCCGCGUCGCAUUAGCUAGUUGGUGAGGUAACGGCUAACCAAGGCAACGAUGCGUAGCCGACCUGAGAGGGUGAUCGGCCACACUGGGACUGGGACACGGCCCAGACUCCUACGGGAGGCAGCAGUAGGGAAUCUUCCGCAAUGGACGAAAGUCUGACGGAGCAACGCCGCGUGAGUGAUGAAGGCUUUCGGGUCGUAAAACUCUGUUGUUAGGGAAGAACAAGUGCUAGUUGAAUAAGCUGGCACCUUGACGGUACCUAACCAGAAAGCCACGGCUAACUACGUGCCAGCAGCCGCGGUAA